GACGUAGGGCGCGAGCGUUGUCCGGAUUUAUUGGGCGUAAAGAGCUCGUAGGCGGCUUGUCGCGUCGUCCGUGAAAACCUGCAGCUCAACUGCGGGCUUGCGGUCGAUACGGGCAGGCUAGAGUUCGGUAGGGGAGACUGGAAUUCCUGGUGUAGCGGUGAAAUGCGCAGAUAUCAGGAGGAACACCGGUGGCGAAGGCGGGUCUCUGGGCCGAUAUUGACGCUGAGGAGCGAAAGCGUGGGGAGCGAACAGG
rnacentral:rRNA from 1 species